CAGAUUCUGUCUCCCUGGUCUCUCUCUGCCCUUCCCCUACUUGUGCUGUCUCUCAAAAAUAAACUUAAAAAAAAAAAAAUUUUUUUUUUAAGGAAUCCAUUCUCUGCAUCUGUUCAUGUAUAGAUUUUUGAUUUACCACAUUCCAGGACCUCCCUGCAAGUUGUUCUGUUCCCCAGUUUGAUGAUCACAGAGGCAGGUAAGUGACAUAUAGCUGGGGCCAGAUGUAAGCAGAAAGUUAGGUCUUGCAGUCAUAUAGGACCAUUGUCCUAAUAACUUACGAUAGACUCUGGAGCUUGGUAAGUGAAAAGGAGCUAGGAAUGUAUAAUUAAAUCCCUUGGAUCAGUAUUCAUUAUAGGAAGGAAUGAGAAGAUGUUUGAAUUGAUUCUUUUAUAUUUUCUGUUCCUAGAAGUAGAAUGCAUUUUUAGUAAUAUUUUGAUUUUGCUUAUUUUAUUCCUCUUCUUAUUCACUCUUUUGAAAUAAAUGGAGUGUGCCCGAUGUGACAUUCACUCAGAAAGUACCUUGCUUUCCUUUCAGAGAAAGUGAAUUUUACAAAUUAUUUUUGUUUCCCCUACAAUAGAUUUUCUUCUAUACCAUUAAAAGACCAUUUCUAUUCUUCUUUCUUGGGUAUUACAUUUGUACUUAAUAUACAAAUUAAUUAUAUUAAUCAUUGUGUUUGAGCAGUGUUGUUAGGCUAAAAGGGACUUUGGGCUUGGGGUAACUCUUCCUGGGUCUGGAUUAACAUCCAGAACUCCAGGAGUUCCCACUGCUCUGAGCUAGUGCCUCCCUUUCCAACCAACUAAUGACUUCUGAACUAAUCCUAGGUGUUUUUUGUUUGUUAUUGUUUGUUUGUUUUUCUGCCACUGUGGACUAAGAGCAUAAAUGCUGCCUUAGUAAGAGAGGUUAAAGAAGCAAUAGGUUUCAUCUUUCCUUAGCCUGACUGGCCUUUGGUGAGUUUGGGUGUGUUGACAGAAUAAAUACUGAGCCAUCUUGGCAGACAAGGAAGGUCAGAAAGAGAGAAGUCCAUGGGCAGGGGGCCAGGUCCCUCCUUGCCUCGUUAGGGAGAAUUCAGCGUUGUCUGUCUGGUUGGCAGGGUAUACCUAAUCACAGAGACGCAGCAUUUCAGCAGUUUGCAAAGGAAAGUGAUACGAAGGGACAGCUGCAAGUCAGCCACAGCUUAGAUCUGAGGAGAUCAAGCAUUCGCUUCACUUGGAAGAAAGAGAGAAGGAAGGAAGCCUAGGGCUUAGCAGGUCCCCAGGUAUCAGUGGACAGCCAUGGCUCCAAGAUCUCGGAAGCGAAGGCACAAGAAACCCCCUUCGUCAGUGGCUCCCAUGGUUGUGACCCCAUCCACAGUUGUGACCCCUGUGCCUCUGACCCUCUCAAAACCUGACCCUAGCAUUGAUGCGCUUGGCUUCUUCUCCUUGGAAAAUAAUGUUCCUGGCCUAUCUCAGCUAAUCCUUCAAAAGCUAAGCAUGAAAAGCUAUGAAGAAUACAAGUUGGUGCUAGAUGGGGGUGCUUCUGUAUCAGGCUUUGGAUUUCGAUGCCCUCAAGAAAUGUUCCAGAAGAUGGAGGACACAUUCCGAUUCUGUGCUCACUGUAGAGCUCUCCAUAGUGGUCUUUCAGACUCCAAGGUCUUACGGCAGUGCAAAAGGUGCAGAAAUGUCUAUUACUGUGGUCCAGAGUGCCAGAGGUCAGACUGGCCAGCACACAGGAAGGUUUGUCAAGAGCUGUGUCUUGUAGCUGUGGACCGUCUCAUGGAAUGGCUCCUAGUCACAGGUGCUUUUGUCCUACCUUCAGGGCCUUGGCCAUGCCUGGCUGAAGCUGUACAGGGCUGGGAUACCUGGUUUUCUAUGCGGCAUUUACAGCUAGAUGCUACACUGGAUGCUGUGCUAGGUAGUCAUGCCAUGACCACCCUGUGGGCCAGCGUAGAACGGCCAAGGCCAGACCCAGAUGUCUUGCAGGGCUCUUUGAAGCGGCUGCUGACAGAUGCCCUCUCACGACCCUUGACACUGGGCCUUGGGCUUCGGGCCUUGAGGAUAAAUGUUGGGAAGAUUGGGGGAAGCACAGUGCAUGUGGUUGGUGCUUCCCACGUGGAGACAUUCCUCACUCGCCCUGAGGACUAUGAUGAGCUUGGCUACAUGUUUCCUGGACACCUUGGCCUCCGUGUGAUCAUGGUGGGUAUAGACGUAUCUGCUGGCUUUACACAGAACCCCUCAACUCCCAUCCUGGAACCUGGCACAGUUCAGCUUAGUGGCCAUAGAGGCCUCUAUCAUGACUUCUGGGAGGAGGAGGUAGAGACUGGGCGGAUAGCCCAUCCAGAUUUGGUGGUGACAUUCCAUCCAGGUAAGAAUCAUUUAGGGGAAUACUGGGUGGCUUUUCUGGGAAUUUUCUAUCCUGACUCUUGUAUCUUCUAUAUUUGGAAUCCCAUUCAUUUGGUCAGGUUAAACACAAUAUGAUGACAACUUUGGUUGAUCAUUAGCCAUUUGUGCUAUGCCCGGGUUCAGAAUUUUCCACUGAAGAACCUGGGGUAGAUGAUGAUGGUAAAUGAGCAUUGGAGGUGAGCAAGGUUUCCAUGCUUCCCCAGACUUAAUGGAGGCUUGGCUGCCCACCCUCUUGCUACUUCGUGAUUAUGAGAUCCCUACAUUGAUCACUGUUUACAGCCAUCAGGAAUUGGCAGCCU